UCAUCCGAAAUUCGAAGAGCAGACUCACGUCCAACCAACGACUGGCAUGAUCAAUAUGAUCUCGGCAGGACCGCGACCCUGGGGGUUAGACGACCAUGAAAGUACUUCCAAGCAUCAGCACAUCAAUAAUGACAUCGUAUUUACUGAAGCAGAUCGGCGAGGAGUCCAAACUCCUCAUAAUAAUGCUAUAGUCGUGUCAAUGAC
rnacentral:lncRNA from 1 species